UUGAAGCUGGUACCUCCGGGUGUCCGCGUUGUAAUCUCGAGACACUGUUUUCCGUGCGGCGCUAUGGACAAGUUCCUUGGAACAGGGCAUCGUAGAGGGUGAAAAUCCCGUACUUGCCAUGGAUGUACCGUGCUUUGCGAUACAUGCUCUAAGAGUCGAGUUGUUUGGGAUUGCAGCUCAAAAUGGGUGGUAGACUCCAUCUAAAGCUAAAUAUCGGGGAGAGACCGAUAGCGAACAAGUACCGUGAGGGAAAGAUGAAAAGCACUUUGGAAAGAGAGUUAAAAGUACGUGAAAUUGUCGAAAGGGAAGCGCUUGAAGUCAGCCAUGCUGCUCGGGACUCAGCCUGGCUUUUGCUUGGGGUAUUUCCUGGGUAGCAAGUCAGCAUUGGUUUGGAUCCUCAGAAAAGCAUAAUCAGAAUGGGGCGCCCUCGGGCGUGUUAUAGCCUUCUAUUGGAUACGACGAUCUAGACCAAGGAACGCAUGGCGCCUUAUGGCGGGUCUUCGGACACCUUCGCGCUUAGGAUGCUGGCGUAAUAAAA
rnacentral:rRNA from 1 species